CCUACGGGUGGCAGCAGUGAGGAAUAUUGGUCAAUGGCCGAGAGGCUGAACCAGCCAAGUCGCGUGAGGGAAGACGGCCCUACGGGUUGUAAACCUCUUUUGUCGGGGAGCAAAGCGAGUCACGUGUGACUCAUUGAGAGUACCCGAAGAAAAAGCAUCGGCUAACUCCGUGCCAGCAGCCGCGGUAAUACGGAGGAUGCGAGCGUUAUCCGGAUUUAUUGGGUUUAAAGGGUGCGUAGGCGGUCGGAUAAGUUAGAGGUGAAAUCCCGAGGCUCAACUUCGGAAUUGCCUCUGAUACUGUUCGGCUAGAGAGUAGUUGCGGUAGGCGGAAUGUAUGGUGUAGCGGUGAAAUGCUUAGAGAUCAUACAGAACACCGAUUGCGAAGGCAGCUUACCAAGCUACUUCUGACGUUGAGGCACGAAAGCGUGGGGAGCAAACAGGAUUAGAUACCCUUGUAGUC
rnacentral:rRNA from 1 species